CUAUGGCCAUACCACCCUGAAUGUGCCCAGUCUCGUCUGAUCUGGGAAGCUAAGCAGGGUCGGGCCUGGUUAGUACUUGGAUGGGAGAAAUACAUUUGCUGAAUAGU
rnacentral:rRNA from 1 species